GGGCCCGUAGCUCAGUUGGUAGAGCGCCUCGUUUGCAACGAGGAGGUAAGCGGUUCGAUCCCGCUCGGGUCCA
rfam:Candidate division CPR1 bacterium GW2011_GWC1_49_13 TY40_C0004, whole genome shotgun sequence.